rnacentral:rRNA from 1 species
AUGAAGAAUAGAAGGUUGGUCCAUAGAAGGGCGAGCGACAAGCUAUCGAUCACGCUGUUGAUCGACACCAAGGCAGCCAAGGUUUGUUUCGCCGAGGCUGGCAACGACGUCGUCGAGUUCCUGUCGGGCCUCCUCUCACUGCCGCUGGGCAGCAUCAGCAACCUGCUCACCCAAGAGCGCAUCGCCGGCAGCUUCGGUAAUUUGCUUGCGAGCGUGGAGAUGCGGGAUGCUGAUUACAAGGGCAAGGAGCAGCACCUGAGCCCGGCUGUCGCCCAGGCCACGCUCUGCCGCCUGGAGGAGCUGCUAGGCACCGAGCUGAGCAACUGCAACACCCACUUCUACACCUGUGUAAAUAAGAACACCGGCAGAAGCUGUGGAUUUCUCUCGGCCCGCAGUGGCAGUGCCUGCCCCGCCUGCAAAGGUAGAAUGUUCGAUCCUAUGUUUCUCUCCAGCGAGAAUGAGGAGGUGGCGACAGCUGGCAGGAAGUGGCGGGCAUCUGCGUACACCAUCAAGGACGACCUCUGGGUGAGUCCGGCGCCCAGCCUGCUGUCGGGCAUCACAUUGCUUGCGCAUUGCGGCGUCCAGGACCUCAGCGUGCUGGAGAGGAAGACCGUCAAGAUCGGCAAGGAAGAGGCGUUGGGGAUACUUGCUGCUGCCCUCAAGUCCAAGAGCGUCCUCACUGAUGUCUUCCUGCCAAAGAAGAAUGCACGCUGCAAGAGGGAACCUCCUGAGGAAGUCAGCCACGUGUGA